GACGGAGGAUGCAAGCGUUAUCCGGAAUCAUUGGGCGUAAAGCGUCCGCAGGUGGCAAUUCAAGUCUGCUGUUAAAGCGCAGGGCUUAACUCUGUAAAGGCAGUGGAAACUGAAUAGCUAGAGUGUGGUAGGGGCAGAGGGAAUUCCCAGUGUAGCGGUGAAAUGCGUAGAGAUUGGGAAGAACAUCGGUGGCGAAGGCGCUCUGCUGGACCAUAACUGACCAUCAAAGGACGAAAGCUAGGGGAGCGAAUGGG
rnacentral:rRNA from 1 species